GCCUUCGUGGUGUAGUGGUCAGUACGCUCGACGCGUAACCGAGAGGUCCAUGGUUCGAUUCCCGGCGAAGGCG
rnacentral:tRNA from 1 species